rnacentral:rRNA from 1 species
ACUGCGUACCUUUUGUAUAAUGGGUCAGCGACUUAUAUUCUGUAGCAAGGUUAACCGUAUAGGGGAGCCGGAGGGAAACCGAGUCUUAAUUGGGCGUUAAGUUGCAGGGUAUAGACCCGAAACCCGGUGAUCUAGCCAUGGGCAGGUUGAAGGUUGGGUAACACUAACUGGAGGACCGAACCGACUAAUGUUGAAAAAUUAGCGGAUGACCUGUGGCUGGGGGUGAAAGGCCAAUCAAACCGGGAGAUAGCUGGUUCUCCCCGAAAGCUAUUUAGGUAGCGCCUCGUGAAUUCAUCUCCGGGGGUAGAGCACUGUUUCGGCUAGGGGGCCAUCCCGGCUUACCAACCCGAUGCAAACUGCGAAUACCGGAGAAUGUUAUCACGGGAGACACACGGCGGGUGCUAACGUCCGUCGUGAAGAGGGAAACAACCCAGACCGCCAGCUAAGGUCCCAAAGUCAUGGUUAAGUGGGAAACGAUGUGGGAAGGCCCAGACAGCCAGGAUGUUGGCUUAGAAGCAGCCAUCAUUUAAAGAAAGCGUAAUAGCUCACUGGUCGAGUCGGCCUGCGCGGAAGAUGUAACGGGGCUAAACCAUGCACCGAAGCUGCGGCAGCGAACGUAUCACCCAAGACAACUUUACGGAGUUGACGAUUGACGGAGCGAAGCGACGUCAAAGCGUUCAUUAAAGUCGAGUUGGCUUAGGGAUACGUUCGUUGGGUAGGGGAGCGUUCUGUAAGCCUGUGAAGGUGUGUCGUGAGGCAUGCUGGAGGUAUCAGAAGUGCGAAUGCUGACAUAAGUAACGAUAAAGCGGGUGAAAAGCCCGCUCGCCGGAAGACCAAGGGUUCCUGUCCAACGUUAAUCGGGGCAGGGUGAGUCGACCCCUAAGGCGAGGCCGAAAGGCGUAGUCGAUGGGAAACGGGUUAAUAUUCCCGUACUUGGUGUUACUGCGAAGGGGGGACGGAGAAGGCUAUGUUGGCCGGGCGACGGUUGUCCCGGUUUAAGCGUGUAGGUGUGUGUUCCAGGUAAAUCCGGUU